UAUCUGCUAAUGUCUACUAUUUUUACUUAUCCAAAACGUCCACUACUGCAAAAUUAAAUACGAUCUCUUUCCAUACCUUACAAGAAGCAGCUAGUUCCGAGCUCCAUUUGGAAGCCUCGUGAAUAAUCUCAUUACCUUCCCGAGCAAGAUCGCGUCCUUCAUUACGAGCUUUUACACAUGCUUCUAGAGCUACUCGAUUAGCUACGGCCCCUGGCAUAUUACCCCAAGGAUGUCCUAAAGUUCCUCCACCAAACUGUAGUACAGAAUCAUCCCCAAAGAUCUCGGUCAGAGCAGGCAUAUGCCAAACAUGAAUACCUCCUGAAUCCACAGGUAGAACACCUGGUAAAGAGACCCAAUCUUGAGUGAAAUAAGUACCGCGAGUUCGAUCUUGUUCAAUAAAAUCAUCACGCAAUAAAUCAACAAAGCCCUAAGUUAUGUCUCUUUCACCUUCAAGUUUAACUACUACGGUACCAGCGUGAAUAUGAUCUCCACCAGACAUACGUAACGUUUUUGCUAAUACCCAGAAGUGCAUACCAUGAUUCUUCUGUCUAUCAAUAACCGCAUGCAUUGCACGGUGGAUGUGAAGAAGUAGACCAUUAUCUCGGCAAUAAUGAGCCAAGCUAGUAUUUGCGGUGAAUCCCCCCAUUAAGUAGUCAUGCAUUACGAUCGGAACGCCCAAUUCUCUAGCAAAUACAGCUCUUUUCAUCAUUUCUUCGCAUUUACCUGCAGUAGCAUUCAAGUAAUGCCCUUUGAUUUCACUUGUUUCAAUCUAUGCUUUAAAAAUUGCUUCGGUACAAAAUAAGAAACAAUCUCUCCAAAGCAUAAAUGGUUGUGAGUUCACGUUCUCAUCAUCUUUGGUAAAAUCAAGUCCGCCGUGAAGACAUUCAUAAACAGCUCUACCAUAGUUUUUAGCAGAUAACCCCAAUUUAGGUUUAAUAGUACAUCCCAACAGGGGACGACCGUACUUGUUCAAUUUAUCUCUUUCAACUUGGAUCCCAUGAGGCGGACCUUGGAAAGUUUUAAUAUAAGCAGUAGGGACUCGCAGAUCUUCCAGACGUAGAGCGCGCAGGGCUUUGAACCCAAAUACAUUACCUACAAUGGAAGUAAACAUGUUGGUAACGGAACCUUCUUCAAAAAGGUCUAAAGGGUAAGCUACAUAAGCAAUAUAUUGAUCUUUUUCUCCAACAACACGCUCGAUGCGGUAGCAUCGCCCUUUGUAACGAUCAAGACUGGUAAGUCCAUCGGUCCAUACAGUUGUCCAUGUACCAGUAGAAGAUUCGGCAGCUACCGCGGCCCCUGCUUCUUCAGGUGGAACUCCAGGUUGAGGAGUUACUCGGAAUGCUGCCAAUAUAUCAGUAUCCUUGGUUUGGUACUCAGGAGUAUAAUAAGUCAAUUUGUACUCUUUAACACCAGCUUUGAAUCCAACACUUGCUUUAGUCUCUGUUUGUGGUGACAUAAAUCCCUCCCUACAACUCAUGAAUUAAGAAUUCUCACAACAACAAGGUCUACUCGACACGAAUUACGCGUUAAUGAAACUUUUCACAGGAAUCUUUCAGAAAAUUUCCAACUAAUACUAAUAUUAUCAAUUAAUCAGAAUGGUUGAUUAUUAGACCAUGGUAUUUGAUU
rnacentral:lncRNA from 1 species